rnacentral:lncRNA from 1 species
UCAAAUUUCUGCUCGGGAUCUCGUGAAUACAAGUCCACGUAUUCUUCUCCUUGCUGAAGUUGUUGCUCGCACCUUCUUUGACAUUGCUGUUUUUGUUGCCAAUCCCCACCUUGUUGCCUCUGGCAGCGCUGCUGGCACAUCUGACGUGCGCAUUGUUGACGGCAUUGUUGUUGGCCUUGUUGCCGGGACUGGCACCUUUGCUGGCAUUGCUCAAAUCCUUUCUCGGGAUCUCUUGAGUACAAGUCUACGUAUUCUUCUCCUUGUUGUAGUUGUUGCUCGCACCUUCUUUGGCACUGCUGUUGUUGUUGCCAAUCCCCACCUUGUUGCCUCUGGCAACGCUGCUGGCAUAUCUGCUGACGCUCGUAUUGGCUCAAUUGUUGUGCACACUGUUGACGGCAUUGUUGUUGUUGCUGGCCACCACGUUGCCUAGAUUGACAGCUCUGCUGGCAUUGCUCAAAUCGUUGUUCAGGAUCUCUAGUUGGGUUAAUCAUGUUCUGUUCGAUUUCUCUUCCUUGCUGCAAUUGCUGCUGGCACCUUUUGUUUGAAUAAAAACGUUAUCAGUCAUCUUUUAAGCCACAUAAGCCAUCAGUUCAAUCACUCUAAAACUAUAAUAAUUACCUUGAUUGGCACUGUUGUUGCUGUUGCCUAUCGCCUCUUUGUUGCCUCUGACAACGCUGCUGGCAUAUUUGUUGGCGCUCUUGGUGGCUCAAUUGCUGCCCGCAUUGUUGACGACAUUGUUGAAUCCCUUGUCCACGGAAGGGUUGCUGUUGGUCGCACCUCCGCAG